rnacentral:rRNA from 1 species
AUACGUAGGGGGCGAGCGUUGUCCGGAUUUACUGGGCGUAAAGGGUGAGUAGGCGGUUGUAUAUGUCAGGGGUAAAAGGCUAUGGCUUAACCAUAGUUCGCACUUGAAACUGGAUAACUUGAGUGCAGGAGAGGUAAGCGGAAUUCCUAGUGUAGCGGUGAAAUGCGUAGAUAUUAGGAGGAACACCAGUGGCGAAGGCGGCUUACUGGACUGUAACUGACGCUGAGUCACGAAAGCGUGGGUAGCAAACAGGAUUAGAUACCCUGGUAGUCCACGCUGUAAACGAUGAGUGCUAGGUGUUGGGUAGCGAUACUCAGUGCCGUAGUAAACACAAUAAGCACUCCGCCUGGGGAGUACGUACGCAAGUAUGAAACUCAAAGGAAUUGACGGGG